rnacentral:rRNA from 1 species
UGUCGAACGGGUUAUUCUUUAUAGCUUGCUAUGGGGACAAUUAGUGGCAGACGGGUGAGUAAUGCAUAGGAAUCUACCUAGUAGUAUAGGAUAGCCACUAGAAGUGGUGGGUAAUACUGUAUAAUCCCUGCGGGGGAAAGAUUUAUCGCUACAUGAUGAGCCUAUGUUAGAUUAGCUAGUUGGUGGGGUAAUGGCCUACCAAGGCAGUGAUCUAUAGCUGGUCUGAGAGGAUGAUCAGCCACACUGGAACUGAGACACGGUCCAGACUCCUACGGGAGGCAGCAGUGGGGAAUAUUGGACAAUGGGCGCAAGCCUGAUCCAGCUAUGCCGCGUGAGUGAGGAAGGCCUUAGGGUUGUAAAACUCUUUCAGUAGGGAAGAUAAUGACGGUACCUAUAA